AGAGUUUGAUCCUGGCUCAGGAUGAACGCUAGCGGCAGGCUUAACACAUGCAAGUCGAGGGGCAGCGGGGAGGAAGCUUGCUUUCUCCGCCGGCGACCGGCGCACGGGUGAGUAACACGUAUGCAACCUGCCCCUGUCAGGGGGACAACCCGCCGAAAGGCGGGCUAAACCCGCGUACAUGCCACCGGGGCAUCCCGGAGGCAGGAAAGGCUUCGGCCGGACAGGGAUGGGCAUGCGGCGCAUUAGGCAGUAGGCGGGGUAACGGCCCACCUAACCGACGAUGCGUAGGGGUUCUGAGAGGAAGGUCCCCCACACUGGUACUGAGACACGGACCAGACUCCUACGGGAGGCAGCAGUGAGGAAUAUUGGUCAAUGGUCGGGAGACUGAACCAGCCAAGCCGCGUGAGGGAGGAAGGUACAGAGUAUCGUAAACCUCUUUUGUCAGGGAACAAAGGCGGGGACGUGUCCCCGGAUGAGUGUACCUGAAGAAAAAGCAUCGGCUAACUCCGUGCCAGCAGCCGCGGUAAUACGGAGGAUGCGAGCGUUAUCCGGAUUUAUUGGGUUUAAAGGGUGCGCAGGCGGUCUGUUAAGUCAGCGGUCAAAGCCCGGGGCUCAACCCCGGCCCGCCGUUGAAACUGGCAGUCUCGAGUUGGAGAGAAGUAUGCGGAAUGCGCGGUGUAGCGGUGAAAUGCAUAGAUAUCGCGCAGAACUCCGAUUGCGAAGGCAGCAUGCCGGCUCCACACUGACGCUGAGGCACGAAAGCGUGGGUAUCGAACAGGAUUAGAUACCCUGGUAGUCCACGCAGUAAACGAUGAAUGCUGGCUGUCCGGGGGGAUUGACCCCUGGGUGGCGAAGCGAAAGCGAUAAGCAUUCCACCUGGGGAGUACGCCGGCAACGGUGAAACUCAAAGGAAUUGACGGGGGCCCGCACAAGCGGAGGAACAUGUGGUUUAAUUCGAUGAUACGCGAGGAACCUUACCCGGGCUCAAACGGGGAGUGACUCAGGCAGAGACGCCUGUUUCCCACGGGACACUCCCCGAGGUGCUGCAUGGUUGUCGUCAGCUCGUGCCGUGAGGUGUCGGCUUAAGUGCCAUAACGAGCGCAACCCCCGCGUGCAGUUGCUAACAGAUAACGCUGAGGACUCUGCACGGACUGCCGGCGCAAGCCGCGAGGAAGGCGGGGAUGACGUCAAAUCAGCACGGCCCUUACGUCCGGGGCGACACACGUGUUACAAUGGGUGGUACAGCGGGAAGCCAGGUGGCGACGCCGAGCGGAACCCGAAAUCCACUCUCAGUUCGGAUCGGAGUCUGCAACCCGACUCCGUGAAGCUGGAUUUGCUAGUAAUCGCGCAUCAGCCAUGGCGCGGUGAAUACGUUCCCGGGCCUUGCACACAACGCCCGUCA
rnacentral:rRNA from 1 species